AGCACUGGCAAUAUUUUAGAAAUCUAAGAAGCGCCUCUAAGGAGAGAUGUGCUGAACCUUUGGAAGGGCCUCUCUCCUCCAAGGACAAACAAGCAGCGGAGGAGGGGUGCACAGAUGCUCUGCAGCUUCUGGACAUCCUGAUUCAUACAGCUCGACCUGGACACUUCCAGCUAAGCGCCUGCCCAUGCUGCUCCACCCCCUUCCCUUCCUGGCUCCCUCUUACCCUUCCUUCUUAUCCUGAUCCCUCCCUGCCAGUUGUUGGACCUGAAGUUUCUGCUGAAUCACCAUCCAGUACUUAGUUCAGCCAAGAAGCCCGAACACCCAGCUCAGCGAUUUCCAAGAGCUGAGUAAUUCUUCAGCAUUAGCUAAACAUCGCUCCUGAGCUGGGGUGGGGGAGAAGAGAAAAACGGAAGACACAGGGAAAGCAGGGGAGACAGGACACAGCAUGCUGUGCUACCUGGGGGAGCCCCCUUUAGUUCCUACUCAUUACUCUUCAAGCCCAGGCCGAAAAAAUUCCAGCUAUCUCAUGCCCCAAUUCUCAGGGCCAAGAACAGUAACGAGCACAUCAUGGCCCUUGAUAAAUGUUUGCUGAGUGAACAAAGUGCUGUGAUUCUCAUUUAUAUAAGGUUUCCCCAGGGUCCCAAUCCCCUUCUGUUCCAGAGCAGGCUUUUGAACAGCAUCCUGGGGUAACCACCCUGAGGAAGACUUCCAACCAAAGACCUGCUCAGCAUUUCAGGGAUUUGGAGAGGGCGUGGAAGGCAGAAAUAGAGAGAAAACAUUGUUAACUGCUCACUACAAAUGCUGGAGACAAAAUGCCUCUUAUUAAAUACCUGGUUGCUUAUACCCUGUGGGCCUAACUUUGAGUGCCCACCUGCAUCACCACCUCCUGAAAUGAGUAACUGAAGUGACCUAUUGUCAGGACGAAGAGACUCGUUCGACGAGAUAUAAAGCAAUCUAUCAACUCAACGUUUUGACUGUGACAAUGCUAGAAGAAGUUUCGAAGGCAAGACUGGAGGGGACCAAGAUGUGCCUCCCUAAAAUGUCUCUGGCAUGCGGAUUAGUUCAAGUUGAAAACAAUCGAGGCCCAAAAGACUCAGGAAGAAAUUUUGCCCCUCCCCCCAGCUGCCUAAAAAGAAUUUAGAUAGAGGACCUGUUCCUGGAGUAGUGCUAUCACCAGAGAUAUCGGCAAAAUGUGGGCUGGGUGGUGGGGAGAUUAAAGAUUAGAGUCCACUCUCUGUCCCAUUGUCUCCACAUGGCUCAGCAAACAGUUUUUACCAAACAUUUGCUUUUCAUUUGCAUGUCAAUUACCUUCCUCCCUUCGAAGUCCCAACAUUCUCUUUUGUCUUUAGCUGAAGGUGGUAUUUAAGGUGAGGGUUUUGACUAUUUUGGCAAGUUACUCAGUUUUUCUGGGUCUCUUCUAGGUACAGUUGUUAUUAAACUUUUGUUUGAUUUUUUCUUGUUAA